GACGAACGCUGGCGGCGUGCCUAAUACAUGCAAGUCGAGCGAAGCGGCGGAUGGGUGAGUAACGCGUGGGUAACCUGCCCUUAAGUCUGGGAUACCAUUUGGACACAGAUGCUAAUACCGGAUACGAAAGGAUGGACCUGCGAUGCAUUAGCUAGUUGGUAAGGUAACGGCUUACCAAGGGGAUGAUGCAUAGCCGAGGUGAGAGACUGAUCAGCCACAUUGGAACUGAGACACGGUCCAAACUCCGACGGGAGGCAGCAGUGGGGAAUAUUGCACCAUGGGGGAAACCAUGAUGCAGCAACGCCGAGUGCGGGAUGACGGCCUUCGGGUUGUAAACCGCUUUCAGCCAAGACGCGGUAGUGGCAGAAGAAGCACCGGCUAACUACGUGCCAGCAGCCGCGGUAAUUC
rnacentral:rRNA from 1 species